rnacentral:lncRNA from 1 species
AAAAAAAAAGGAAAAACUUCAAAUAUCCCCUAUAUGGUUUCGUACUUUCUCACUUUAAUAUUCUGUGGUUUAAACUGUAUUAAGUUAGUACCCUGUGGUUUCGCACUUUCUCACUUUAGUAUCUGUGGUUUAAAGUGUAUCAAGUUAGUACCCUGUGGUUUCACACUUUCUCAUUUUAGUACCCUGUGGUUUAAUAUUUCGUUAAAUUAUAUACAAAAAACUUCAGAUAUCCUAGCUAGGUUUAUCGAAUAUUCAUUUUAGUACCCUUUAGUUUUAAUUUUGGCAUUGAUUUAUCGAAAAAAAAACCCAAAAUAGAUAAUAAAAAGAGAAAUAAAACCAUAUGGUACUAACUUGAUACAAAAAUAAAAUCACAGAGUACUAACUUGAUACACUUUAAACCACAGAGUACUAACUUGAUACAAAAAUAAAACCAAAGAGUACUAACUUGAUACACUUUAAACCACAGAGUACUAAAGUGAGAAAGUGCAAAAUCACCGGGUACUAACUUGAUAUACUUUAAAAUUUAAAUCACAAGGUACUAAAAUGAAAAAGUAUGAAAUU